GAUGAACGCUGGCGGCGUGCUUAACACAUGCAAGUCGAACGGAAAGGCCCUGCUUUUGUGGGGUGCUCGAGUGGCGAACGGGUGAGUAACACGUGAGUAACCUGCCCUUGACUUUGGGAUAACUUCAGGAAACUGGGGCUAAUACCGGAUAGGAGCUCCUGCUGCAUGGUGGGGGUUGGAAAGUUUCGGCGGUUGGGGAUGGACUCGCGGCUUAUCAGCUUGUUGGUGGGGUAGUGGCUUACCAAGGCUUUGACGGGUAGCCGGCCUGAGAGGGAGACCGGCCACAUUGGGACUGAGAUACGGCCCAGACUCCUACGGGAGGCAGCAGUGGGGAAUAUUGCACAAUGGGCGGAAGCCUGAUGCAGCAACGCCGCGUGCGGGAUGACGGCCUUCGGGUUGUAAACCGCUUUCGCCUGUGACGAAGCGUGAGUGACGGUAAUGGGUAAAGAAGCACCGGCUAACUACGUG
rnacentral:rRNA from 1 species